GUGAGUAACACGUAGGUAAUCUGCCGUAGAGUGGGGGAUAACCCAUGGAAACAUGGACUAAUACCGCAUAUNCUCUUGACACAUAAGUGUAGUAGAGGAAAGGAGUAAUCCGCUUUACGAUGAGCCUGCGGCCUAUUAGCCUGUUGGUGAGAUAAAAGCCCACCAAAGCUACGAUAGGUAGCCGACCUGAGAGGGUGACCGGCCACAUUGGGACUGAGAUACGGCCCAGACUCCUACGGGAGGCAGCAGCUGAGAAUCUUCCACAAUGGACGAAAGUCUGAUGGAGCGACAUCGCGUGAGGGAUGAAGGCCUUCGGGUUGUAAACCUUGGAAAUUAUCGAAGAAUGAGUGACAGUAGAUAAUGUAAGCCUCGGCUAACUACGUGCCAGCAGCCGCGGUAAUACGUAGGAGGCAAACGUUGCUCGGAUUUACUGGGCGUAAAGGGUGAGHAUGCGGAACUAUAAGNCUAAGGUGAAAUAUCGAAGCUCAACUUCGGARACGCCUCGGAUACUGUGGUU
rnacentral:rRNA from 1 species